rnacentral:rRNA from 1 species
AGUCGAGCGCAGGAACCAGCUGAUCCCCUUCGGGGGUGACGCUGGUGGAAUGAGCGGCGGACGGGUGAGUAACACGUGGGCAACCUGCCUGUAAGACCGGAAUAACCCCGGGAAACCGGGGCUAAUGCCGGGUAACACCUUCUCUCGCAUGAGGGGAGGUUGAAAGAUGGCUUCUCGCUAUCGCUUACAGAUGGGCCCGCGGCGCAUUAGCUAGUUGGUGAGGUAACAGCUCACCAAGGCGACGAUGCGUAGCCGACCUGAGAGGGUGAUCGGCCACACUGGGACUGAGACACGGCCCAGACUCCUACGGGAGGCAGCAGUAGGGAAUCUUCCGCAAUGGACGAAAGUCUGACGGAGCAACGCCGCGUGAACGAUGAAGGUCUUCGGAUCGUAAAGUUCUGUUGUUAGGGAAGAACAAGUGCCGUGCGAAUAGAGCGGCACCUUGACGGUACCUAACGAGGAAGCCCCGGCUAACUACGUGCCAGCAGCCGCGGUAAUACGUAGGGGGCAAGCGUUGUCCGGAAUUAUUGGGCGUAAAGCGCGCGCAGGCGGUUCCUUAAGUCUGAUGUGAAAGCCCACGGCUCAACCGUGGAGGGUCAUUGGAAACUGGGGAACUUGAGGACAGAAGAGGAGAGUGGAAUUCCACGUGUAGCGGUGAAAUGCGCAGA